rnacentral:ncRNA from 2 species
AGACUUCGAGUCUCCUGAAGGAACGUUGAAGACGACGACGUUGAUAGGCCGGGUGUGUAAGCGCAGCGAUGCGUUGAGCUAACCGGUACUAAUGAACCGUGAGGCUUAACCUU